rnacentral:rRNA from 1 species
UACGUAGGGGGCAAGCGUUGUCCGGAUUUAUUGGGCGUAAAGCGCGCGUAGGCGGCAAGGUAUGUCGUGCGUGAAAUCUCCCGGCUUAACUGGGAGGGCCGUGCGAAACUGCCUGGCUUGAGGUCGGAAGGGGAAAGUGGAAGUUCCGGGUGUAGCGGUGGAAUGCGUAGAGAUCCGGAAGAACACCAGUGGCGAAGGCGGUCUGCUGGGCGGUGGAUCCGCAAGGGUCCAAUAGCCGACACUGAGGCGCGACAGCGUGGGGAGCAAACAGG